CAUGAAUAUGUAGAUAAUCCCCCAUCCACCUAGCUCCCAUAGGCUCUGGAAAGAGAGGGGGUGGGGAGCAGGCGGAGCUGGACGGAGGGACUGAAACUGCCCGGCGAGGAGCUGUGCCAGGAGAAGUGAGUCCCUGUGGAAAACACACACACACAGGCUGGUGCUGUCUGACCAAACUCUGCUGUGAUGAGACCUCGGCAGGUAGCUUAGUAUGGCCAAGGAGUGAAAUCCAUCGUUUUACUGACUAUUGUACAACACAGGUUUUUUUUUUCAGACCAAAGAGAGGCAUUUGGGACAUUAAGACGACGCUUGCCGUUUGUGACCUGAACAAUGAACUCGGCGGGGAAAUCUGCUUUGACACAAAAUUCAAACCAAGUCAACCCAAAAUUCCCUCUCCGCCCUUUCUUUUCCUUUCUUUCUCGCCUGUGUGUGUUUGGGGGGGGCUUGGUCUCCAAAAGUCAGUUUGUAAGUUACUCGUAGCAGAAAUAAACUACAUCGUACAAAUCA